UCUCGGCUUAUCACCGGCAGUCCCCCUAGAGUGCCCAACUGAAUGAUGGCAACUAGGGGCGAGGGUUGCGCUCGUUGCGGGACUUAACCCAACAUCUCACGACACGAGCUGACGACAGCCAUGCAGCACCUGUGCACGGACUCCGAAGAGGGGCCGAUGUUUCCACCGGCUUUCCCGUGCAUGUCAAGCCCAGGUAAGGUUCUUCGCGUUGCUUCGAAUUAAUCCACAUCAUCCACCGCUUGUGCGGGCCCCCGUCAAUUCCUUUGAGUUCUAAUCUUGCGACCGUACUCCCCAGGCGGUCAACUUCGCGCGUUAGCUACGUUACCAAGGAAGUCUCCUUCCCCGACAACCAGUUGACAUCGUUUAGGGCGUGGACUAC
rnacentral:misc_RNA from 1 species